rnacentral:rRNA from 1 species
GACGAACGCUGGCGGCGUGCUUAACACAUGCAAGUCGAACGGAAAGGCCCUGCUUUUGUGGGGUGCUCGAGUGGCGAACGGGUGAGUAACACGUGAGUAACCUGCCCUUGACUUUGGGAUAACUUCAGGAAACUGGGGCUAAUACCGGAUAGGAGCUCCUGCUGCAUGGUGGGGGUUGGAAAGUUUCGGCGGUUGGGGAUGGACUCGCGGCUUAUCAGCUUGUUGGUGGGGUAGUGGCUUACCAAGGCUUUGACGGGUAGCCGGCCUGAGGGGGUGACCGGCCACAUUGGGACUGAGAUACGGCCCAGACUCCUACGGGAGGCAGCAGUGGGGAAUAUUGCACAAUGGGCGGAAGCCUGAUGCAGCAACGCCGCGUGCGGGAUGACGGCCUUCGGGUUGUAAACCGCUUUCGCCUGUGACGAAGCGUGAGUGACGGUAAUGGGUAAAGAAGCACCGGCUAACUACGG